rnacentral:rRNA from 1 species
AUUGAACGCUGGCGGCAGGCCUAACACAUGCAAGUCGAGCGGAUCUGCGGCCGGGUGAGUGAUGCCUAGGUAUCUGGCUAGUAGUGGGGGCUAACGUCCGGCAACGGGCGCUAAUACCGCUUACUAUCCGAUGCGCCUAGGUUGGAUUAGCUCUUUGGCGGUGUAAAGGCCGACUAGGGCGUAGAUCCGUAACUGGUCUGAGAGGAUGAGCAGUCACCCUGGAACUGCGACACGGGCCGGAAUCAUACGGGAGGCAGCAGUGGGGAAUAUUGGACAAUGGGCGAAAGCCUGAUCCAGCCAUGCCGCGUGUGUGAAGAAGGUCUUCGGAUUGUAAAGCACUUUCAGUUGGUAGGCGUUACCAACAGAAUAAGCACCGGCUAAAUUAGUGCCAGCAGCCGCGGUAAUAC